rnacentral:rRNA from 1 species
GUAGUCCACGCCGUAAACUAUGAGAACUAGAUGUUAGGGGGCUUGUCCUCUUAGUAUUGCAGCUAACGCGUUAAGUUCUCCGCCUGGGGAGUACGGCCGCAAGGUUAAAACUCAAAGGAAUUGACGGGGGCCCGCACAAGCGGUGGAGCAUGUGGUUUAAUUCGAUGCAACGCGAAAAACCUUACCUACCUUUGAAUCCACAGAAUCCUCUAGAGAUAGAGGAGUGCCUUCGGGAACUGUGAGACAGAUGCUGCAUGGCUGUCGUCAGCUCGUGUUGUGAGAUGUUGGGUUAAGUCCCGUAACGAGCGCAACCCUUGUCCUUAGUUACCAGCGAGUCAUGUCGGGGACUUUAAGGAGACUGCCGGUGAUAAACCGGA